rnacentral:rRNA from 1 species
AGAGUUUGAUCCUGGCUCAGAGUUAACGCUGGCAGCGUGCAUAACACAUGCAAGUCGAGCGGGACUAUUUGAGAUUAUAUCAAUGAUAGUUUAGCGGCAAACGAGUGAGUAACACGUAAGAAAUCUGCCCCGAAGUGGAGAACAACCUGCCGAAAGGUGGGCUAAUACUCCAUAUUAUCCUCUGGUGGCAUCACCUAGGG